GUGUCAGCAGCCGCGGUAAUACGUAGGGUGCAGGCGUUAAUCGGAAUUACUGGGCGUAAAGCGUGCGCAGGCGGUUUGCUAAGACAGGUGUGAAAUCCCCGAGCUUAACUUGGGAACUGCGCUUGUAACUGGCAAGCUAGAGUGUGGCAGAGGGGGGUGGAAUUCCACGUGUAGCAGUGAAAUGCGUAGAGAUGUGGAGGAACACCGAUGGCGAAGGCAGCCCCCUGGGCUAACACUGACGCUCAUGCACGAAAGCGUGGGGAGCAAACAGGAUUAGAUACCCUGGUAGUCC
rnacentral:rRNA from 1 species